rnacentral:rRNA from 1 species
GAACAAGUACCGUGAGGGAAAGACGAAAAGAACUUUGGAAAGAGAGUUAAACAGUACGUGAAAUUGCUGAAAGGGAAACGCUUGAUGUCAGUCGCGUCCGCCAGGGAUCAACCUAGCUUGAUUGCUUGGUGCAUUUCUUGGUCGGACGGGUCAGCAUCGGUUUCGAUCGGGGUAUAAUGGCGGAGGGAAUGUGGCACCUCUAGGGGUGUGUUAUAGACUUUCGUCGUAUGCUUGGGUGGGGACCGAGGAACUCGACACGGACUUUCGAUAGUCUUGUGUCUAGGAUGCUGGCAUAAUGGCCUUAAGCGACCCGUCUUGAAACACGGACCAAGGAGUCUAACAUGCCUGCGAGUGUUCGAGUGAAUAAACUCGUGCGCGCAACGAAAGUGAAAGUCGAGAUCUCUGUCAUGGAGAGCAUCGACGCCCGGACCAGAGUCUACUGACGAAGGAUCUGCGGUAGAGC